GUCUCUUCGGAGACAUCCGAUAAAAUUGGAACGAUAUAGAGAAGAUUAGCAUGGCCCCUGCGCAAGGAUGACUUAUUAUUGGCACCCCCAAGGUGUUU